rnacentral:rRNA from 1 species
UGAUAAAUGUAUCGGAACGUGCCUAGUAGCGGGGGAUAACUACGCAAAAGCGUGGCUAAUACCGCAUACGCCCUACGGGGGAAAGCAGGGGAUCGCAAGACCUUGCACUAUUAGAGCGGCCGAUAUCGGAUUAGCUAGUUGGUGGGGUAAGGGCUCACCAAGGCGACGAUCCGUAGCUGGUUUGAGAGGACGACCAGCCACACUGGGACUGAGACACGGCCCACACUCCUACGGGAGGCAGCAGUGGGGAAUUUUGGACAAUGGGGGAAACCCUGAUCCCGCCCUCCCGCGUGUGCGAUGAAGGCCUUCGGGUUGUAAAGCACUUUUGGCAGGAAAGAAACGUCAUGGGUUAAUACCCCGUGAAACUGACGGUACCUGCAGAAUAAGCACCGGCUAACUACGUGCCAGCAGCCGC